rnacentral:rRNA from 1 species
GGUUAAGCGACUAAGCGUACACGGUGGAUGCCCCGGCAGUCAGAGGCGAUGAAGGACGUGCUAAUCUGCGAUAAGCGUCGGUAAGGUGAUAUGAACCGUUAUAACCGGCGAUUUCCGAAUGGGGAAACCCAGUGUGUUUCGACACACUAUCAUUAACUGAAUCCAUAGGUUAAUGAGGCGAACCGGGGAACUGAAACAUCUAAGUACCCCGAGGAAAAGAAAUCAACCGAGAUUCCCCAGUAGCGGCGAGCGAACGGGGAGGAGCCCAGAGCCUGAAUCAGUGUGUGUGUUAGUGGAAGCGUCUGGAAAGGCGCGCGAUACAGGGUGACAGCCCCGUACACAAAAAUGCACAUACUGUGAGCUCGAUGAGUAGGGCGGGACACGUGGUAUCCUGUCUGAAUAUGGGGGACCAUCCUCCAAGGCUAAAUACUCCUGACUGACCGAUAGUGAACCAGUACCGUGAGGGAAAGGCGAAAAGAACCCCGGCGAGGGAGUGAAAAAGAACCUGAAACCGUGUACGUACAAGCAGUGGGAGCCUCUUUUAUGGGGUGACUGCGUACCUUUGUAUAAUGGGUCAGCGACUUAUAUUCUGUAGCAAGGUUAACCGAAUAGGGGAGCCGAAGGGAAACCGAGUCUUAACUGGGCGUUAAGUUGCAGGGUAUAGACCCGAAACCCGGUGAUUCUAGCCAUGGGCAGGUUGAAGGUUGGGUAACACUAACUGGAGGACCGAACCGACUAAUGUUGAAAAAUUAGCGGAUGACUUGUGGCUGGGGGUGAAAGGCCAAUCAAACCGGGAGAUAGCUGGUUCUCCCCGAAAGCUAUUUAGGUAGCGCCUCGUGAAUUCAUCUCCGGGGGUAGAGCACUGUUUCGGCAAGGGGGUCAUCCCGACUUACCAACCCGAUGCAAACUGCGAAUACCGGAGAAUGUUAUCACGGGAGACACACGGCGGGUGCUAACGUCCGUCGUGAAGAGGGAAACAACCCAGACCGCCAGCUAAGGUCCCAAAGUCAUGGUUAAGUGGGAAACGAUGUGGGAAGGCCCAGACAGCCGGGAUGUUGGCUUAGAAGCAGCCAUCAUUUAAAGAAAGCGUAAUAGCUCACUGGUCGAGUCGGCCUGCGCGGAAGAUGUAACGGGGCUAAACCAUGCACCGAAGCUGCGGCAGCGACGCUUAUGCGUUGUUGGGUAGGGGAGCGUUCUGUAAGCCUGCGAAGGUGUGCUGUGAGGCAUGCUGGAGGUAUCAGAAGUGCGAAUGCUGACAUAAGUAACGAUAAAGCGGGUGAAAAGCCCGCUCGCCGGAAGACCAAGGGUUCCUGUCCAACGUUAAUCGGGGCAGGGUGAGUCGACCCCUAAGGCGAGGCCGAAAGGCGUAGUCGAUGGGAAACAGGUUAAUAUUCCUGUACUUGGUGUUACUGCGAAGGGGGGACGGAGAAGGCUAUGUUGGCCGGGCGACGGUUGUCCCGGUUUAAGCGUGUAGGCUGGUUUUCCAGGCAAAUCCGGAAAACCAAGGCUGAGGCGUGAUGACGAGGCACUACGGUGCUGAAGCGACAAAUGCCCUGCUUCCAGGAAAAGCCUCUAAGCAUCAGGUAACAUCAAAUCGUACCCCAAACCGACACAGGUGGUCAGGUAGAGAAUACCAAGGCGCUUGAGAGAACUCGGGUGAAGGAACUAGGCAAAAUGGUGCCGUAACUUCGGGAGAAGGCACGCUGAUAUGUAGGUGAAGCGACUUGCUCGUGGAGCUGAAAUCAGUCGAAGAUACCAGCUGGCUGCAACUGUUUAUUAAAAACACAGCACUGUGCAAACACGAAAGUGGACGUAUACGGUGUGACGCCUGCCCGGUGCCGGAAGGUUAAUUGAUGGGGUUAGCGGUAACGCGAAGCUCUUGAUCGAAGCCCCGGUAAACGGCUACUGUAACUAUAACGGUCCUAAGGUAGCGAAAUUCCUUGUCGGGUAAGUUCCGACCUGCACGAAUGGCGUAAUGAUGGCCGAGCUGUCUCCACCCGAGACUCAGUGAAAUUGAACUCGCUGUGAAGAUGCAGUGUACCCGCGGCAAGACGGAAAGACCCCGUGAACCUUUACUAUAGCUUGACACUGAACAUUGAGCCUUGAUGUGUAGGAUAGGUGGGAGGCUUUGAAGUGUGGACGCCAGUCUGCAUGGAGCCGACCUUGAAAUACCACCCUUUAAUGUUUGAUGUUCUAACGUUGGCCCGUAAUCCGGGUUGCGGACAGUGUCUGGUGGGUAGUUUGACUGGGGCGGUCUCCUCCUAAAGAGUAACGGAGGAGCACGAAGGUUGGCUAAUCUCGGUCGGACAUCAGGAGGUUAGUGCAAUGGCAUAAGCCAGCUUGACUGCGAGCGUGACGGCGCGAGCAGGUGCGAAAGCAGGUCAUAGUGAUCCGGUGGUUCUGAAUGGAAGGGCCAUCGCUCAACGGAUAAAAGGUACUCCGGGGAUAACAGGCUGAUACCGCCCAAGAGUUCAUAUCGACGGCGGUGUUUGGCACCUCGAUGUCGGCUCAUCACAUCCUCGGGGCUGAAGUAGGUCCCAAGGGUAUGGCUGUUCGCCAUUUAAAGUGGUACGCGAGCUGGGUUUAGAACGUCGUGAGACAGUUCGGUCCCUAUCUCGCCGUGGGCGCUGGAGAACUGAGGGGGCUGCUCCUAGUACGAGAGGACCGGAGUGGACGCAUCACUGGUGUUCGGGUUGUCAUGCCAAUGGCACUGCCCGGUAGCUAAAUGCGGAAGAGAUAAGUGCUGAAAGCAUCUAAGCACGAAACUUGCCCCGAGAUGAGUUCUCCCUGAGACUUUAAGUCUCCUGAAGGAACGUUGAAGACGACGACGUUGAUAGGCCGGGUGUGUAAGCGCAGCGAUGCGUUGAGCUAACCGGUACUAAUGAACCGUGAGGCUUAACCUU